CCGAGAUGAGUUCUCCCUGAGACUUAGAGUCUCCUGAAGGAACGUUGAAGACGACGACGUUGAUAGGCCGGGUGUGUAAGCGCAGCGAUGCGUUGAGCUAACCGGUACUAAUGAACCGUGAGGCUUAACCUU
rnacentral:rRNA from 2 species